rnacentral:rRNA from 1 species
AUUGAACGCUGGCGGCAGGCCUAACACAUGCAAGUCGAGCGGAUGAAGGGAGCUUACUCCUGGAUUCAGCGGCGGACGGGUGAGUAAUGCCUAGGAAUCUGCCUGGUAGUGGGGGAUAACGUCCGGAAACGGGCGCUAAUACCGCAUACGUCCUGAGGGAGAAAGUGGGGGAUCUUCGGACCUCACGCUAUCAGAUGAGCCUAGGUCGGAUUAGCUAGUUGGUGGGGUAAAGGCCUACCAAGGCGACGAUCCGUAACUGGUCUGAGAGGAUGAUCAGUCACACUGGAACUGAGACACGGUCCAGACUCCUACGGGAGGCAGCAGUGGGGCAUCUUGGGCAAUGGGCGAAAGCCUGAUCCAGCCAUGCCGCGUGUGUGAAGAAGGUCUUCGGAUUGUAAAGCACUUUAAGUUGGGAGGAAGGGCAGUAAGUUAAUACCUUGCUGUUUUGACGGUAACUACAGAAUAAGCACCGGCUAACUUCGUG